UUCAUUUUUUUAACAUUUCAUUUCCAAAUUUCAUCUCUAGAGACAGCAAGCUACCAAAAGAAUCCAGUGUUGAUGUCUUUUCUUGGCAGUGCCUAUGGUUUCAUUUGCUCUUGGCCUGGACAGCCAGACAACAUCCCUGCUGGACCAGGACAGUCAGAUGUACCUAGACAAUCUGCACUUAUCAGUUUGAGUCUCAUGUAAUUCUGAGACCAGUCUCCCACAUACCGAUACCAAUGGGAUUUUUCCUGCUGGAUUAAGCAGAAAGAGGAAUACCAGCUGAAAUCUAGAAAGACCAUGAGAGGAGGGUUUUUUC
rnacentral:lncRNA from 1 species